rnacentral:rRNA from 1 species
AGUGAACGCUGGCGGUAGGCCUAACACAUGCAAGUCGAACGGCAGCACAGUAAGAGCUUGCUCUUACGGGUGGCGAGUGGCGGACGGGUGAGGAAUACAUCGGAAUCUACUUUUUCGUGGGGGAUAACGUAGGGAAACUUACGCUAAUACCGCAUACGACCUACGGGUGAAAGCAGGGGAUCUUCGGACCUUGCGCGAUUGAAUGAGCCGAUGUCGGAUUAGCUAGUUGGCGGGGUAAAGGCCCACCAAGGCGACGAUCCGUAGCUGGUCUGAGAGGAUAAUCAGCCACACUGGAACUGAGACACGGUCCAGACUCCUGCGGGAGGCAGCAGUGGGGAAUGUUGGACAAUGGGCGCAAGCCUGAUCCAGCCAUACCGCGUGGGUGAAGAAGGCCUUCGGGUUGUAAAGCCCUUUUGUUGGGAAAGAAAAGCAGCAGGUUAAUACCCCGUUGUUCUGACGGUACCCAAAGAAUAAGCACCGGCUAACUUCGUG